AUUGAACGCUGGCGGCAGGCCUAACACAUGCAAGUCGAGCGGUAGAGAGGUGCUUGCAUCUCUUGAGAGCGGCGGACGGGUGAGUAAUGCCUAGGAAUCUGCCUAGUGGUGGGGGGAUAACGUUCGGAAACGGACGCUAAUACCGCAUACGUCCUACGGGAGAAAGCGGGGGAUCUUCGGACCUCGCGCCAUUAGAUGAGCCUAGGUCGGAUUAGCUAGUUGGUGAGGUAAUGGCUCACCAAGGCGACGAUCCGUAACUGGUCUGAGUGGAUGAUCAGUCACACUGGAACUGAGACACGGUCCAGACUCCU
rnacentral:rRNA from 1 species